rnacentral:rRNA from 1 species
UACAGGGGGAUAGCAGCUGGAAACGGCUGAUAAAACCGCAUAAGCGCACAGCAUCGCAUGAUGCAGUGUGAAAAACUCCGGUGGUAUGAGAUGGACCCGCGUCUGAUUAGCUUGUUGGUGAGGUAACGGCCCACCAAGGCGACGAUCAGUAGCCGGCCUGAGAGGGUGAUCGGCCACAUUGGGACUGAGACACGGCCCAA